rnacentral:rRNA from 1 species
UACGUAGGGUGCGAGCGUUGUCCGGAUUUAUUGGGCGUAAAGAGCUCGUAGGCGGCUUGUUGCGUCGACUGUGAAAACCCGCGGCUUAACUGCGGGCUUGCAGUUGAUACGGGCAGGCUAGAGUUCGGUAGGGGAGACUGGAAUUCCUGGUGUAGCGGUGAAAUGCGCAGAUAUCAGGAGGAACACCGAUGGCGAAGGCAGGUCUCUGGGCCACUACUGACGCUGAGAAGCGAAAGCAUGGGGAGCGAACAGG